rnacentral:rRNA from 1 species
GACGAACGCUGGCGGCGUGCCUAAUACAUGCAAGUAGAACGCACAGUUUAUACCGUAGCUUGCUACACCAUAGACUGUGAGUUGCGAACGGGUGAGUAACGCGUAGGUAACCUGCCUGGUAGCGGGGGAUAACUAUUGGAAACGAUAGCUAAUACCGCAUAAUAUUAAUUAUUGCAUGAUAAUUGAUUGAAAGAUGCAACUGCAUCACUACCAGCUGGACCUGCGUUGUAUUAGCUAGUAGGUGAGGUAACGGCUCACCUAGGCGACGAUACAUAGCCGACCUGGGAGGGUGAUCGGCCACACUGGGACUGAGACACGGCCCAGACUCCUACGGGAGGCAGCAGUAGGGAAUCUUCGGCAAUGGACGGAAGUCUGACCGAGCAACGCCGCGUGAGUGAAGGAGGUUUUCGGAUCGUAAAGCUCUGUUGUAAGAGAAGAACGGGUGUGAGAGUGGAAAGUUCACACUGUGACGGUAUCUUACCAGAAAGAGACGGCUAACUACGUG